ensembl:snoRNA SNORA72 Small nucleolar RNA SNORA72
CCAUGAAUAUUUCCACUGUUCUGAUUUUGUAAUAAUCACAGCAGGCUAACCAUUUGCUAUAAUAAGACCAUGCGUGUGUUCCCAGACUUUGUUCUUUCCCUAGGUCUGGUUUUAUCAGUGCUGGUGAUAAAC